rnacentral:lncRNA from 1 species
GUUUGAGGCAUUUUCAUUUCCUUGAGCUCUUUUCCUAGCACCUAAUAACAUGGCCUCUAAAAGGGUAUCUUCGAAAGUUCAGGCGGCAGUGGUUGAAUAUUCUCUCUCCGUCAUAGAAGGUGGUGGUGUAGGGUGGAAGGGCUCUUCUAUAAAGAAGAACCAAAGGUGAAAACGAUGAAAGAAGACACAUAACAAAUGCUUUGCAAUUACACUCAGCCCAUCAUCAUAGAUAAGGUGCAGAACUGAGAGAGUGUGAUCAUUGCAUUGCGGGGAAUUGAGGGUAGCGGUCCGAAUUACCUUAAAAAAAUUAUUGGUUUUGUAUCAUGUUGUUUUUUUACGUAUUCACCAUUGAUUUUCUCUUUGUUUUUUUAUUUUAAUUCCAAUUAUGUUUAUGUUAUGACUUAUGAUCUAUGAUGGAAAUAUCAAACAUCGAAUGUAAGAGAUGCAUACGAGGUUGCUGGAAAAUGGGGAUUAUGGAAGUUAAGUUUGGGGAGUUAAUGCAGCUGGCAUGCAUCACUUACAC